AACGAACGCUGGCGGCAUGCCUAACUCAUGCAAGUCGAACGAGACCUUCGGGUCUAGUGGCGCACGGGUGCGUAACGCGUGGGAACCUGCCCUUAGGUUCGGAAUAACUCCCCGAAAGGGGUGCUAAUACCGGAUAAUGUCUUCGGACCAAAGAUUUAUCGCCUUUGGAUGGGCCCGCGUUGGAUUAGCUAGUUGGUAGGGUAAAAGCCUACCAAGGCGACGAUCCAUAGCUGGUCUGAGAGGAUGAUCAGCCACACUGGGACUGAGACACGGCCCAGACUCCUACGGGAGGCAGCAGUGGGGAAUAUUGGACAAUGGGCGAAAGCCUGAUCCAGCAAUGCCGCGUGAGUGAUGAAGGCCUUAGGGUUGUAAAGCUCUUUUACCCGGGAUGAUAAUGACAGUACCGGGAGAAUAAGCUCCGGCGAACUCCGU
rnacentral:rRNA from 1 species